rnacentral:tRNA from 1 species
GCGGGCGUCGUUCAAUGGUAGGACAGGAGCUUCCCAAGCUCUUAACGUGGGUUCGAGUCCCAUCGCCCGCUCCA